UGAAUGUGUUAUGGGUGGAAGCCUAAGUGAUGAUCACUUCUGUUCCUCUUUAUUUAGCGGGGGAUAUGACAAUAAAUGGAGCUGUACCAACUGCUGUUGUCACCCAAAGGCACAAUUAUGUAAUCAUACAGCAAGACAUGUCUAACAACAAUAAUAAUAUAAAAAAAAAACACAGCUCAGUUUGGGGGCUCCUUGAGUCAGAUUCACGUCCAGUGGGGGGUCUAAUGGGUCUCUCUGUAGGCCGCCCUCGCUGUGAAACGUUUGGGAGCGCCUGUGUGCGUUCACACGGCAGGUGGAGCCCUCGGUCCAGAGAUUUUAGGAGCCAGAUCCAGUUCCACGUUUUCCACCAGACACCCCCCCACACACACACACUUCAUUUCUGCCUCUCUCCCUCUCACUCUCUGCAUCCCCCAGGCAGGAAUCAUCACCCCCCUCCUCCUCCUCCCUCCCUCUCUAUCUCCCUCUCUCUCUCUCUCCUCGUCCCACCUCCUCUCCCCGCCCGCCUGCAACGCAACGCUCCUCUCGCCGGGCUGCGCUCGAUCAACCGAGCAUCCACCGCGCCUCCAAAUUGGUUUGUCAUUUCUGACCCCCUCUCUCUCUCUUUCUCUCUCUCUCUCACUCACACACACACACUCACACACUCUCUCACACUCACACACACACACACACACGCACACACACACCGUGUGUGUUGACCACGGUCCUCUGCUCCGCUGCGCCCCUGCGUCUGUGGACUGGAGCAGAAGUCAGUAAGAACAUAAAGGCAGCCGGGAAAGAUAAAGGGAGAAGGAGAGAGAGAGAGAAAAAAGGGGAAGGGAGGGGAGGAAGGGAUACAGACAGACGGAUAGAGAAAGAGAGAGAGGGAGAGAGAGAGAGAGAUACGCCUCUGUCCUCCUCCAGCACUUCACUGGACUUCGCGCAUUUGGACGGACGCGAUACAUCCUGUGUGUGAGCGCUGAUCGGGAUCCUAAGCACGCAGCUCCUGGUUUAUUACAUCCUCAGCUUCACCUCCUCCAUCCUCUCUUUCGGCCCAUUUUUGUCUUUUAUUUCUUUUUUUCUUUUUUUUUUUGCUGCAGCUGCAAACGAAUUAACCCGGAGUGUCGGAGGCGGGUGACAUUAUUUAUCGACUGGGAAGAUAUAUAUUUCUAUCCGAGAUCUGCUGCUUGUGUGUGGAGGGGACACUGUAUGAAAGAGCGCAGAAAAGGGUUAUUCCUGACUCCUCUGUGCGCUGGAUGUGUAGCCUAUAUGCGCCUAUAUCUCUGCGCCUGGUGAUACGGACUAGGACGUCCAGCUGCCACUGAGAUGUGAUUCUCUGGGGGGUUUCAUUUCACUUUGACGAAGCGAAGCACACUAGCACAGGCCUGUAUGGUGUCAGAAACACUGAGCUGUGACCAGAACAGCUCACCACAAGACCGUCUGGGCCCAGCAGGAAGUACCUCUGUAUCUACUUCCAGGUCAACCUCAGACGUCAUGUGGAUCAGAUGUCUGCUCUUCGUCUCGACCUUGUUUGCUCCCAUCGCC